rnacentral:rRNA from 1 species
AAUCAACGCUGGCGGCGUGCCUCAGACAUGCAAGUCGAACGCGAAAUCUCCCUUCGGGGAGAAAGUAGAGUGGCGCACGGGUGAGUAACACGUAGGUAAUCUGCCUUUGGGUGGGGAAUAACUCAGGGAAACUUGAGCUAAUACCGCAUAAUGCAGCGGCUCGACAUCGAGACAGUUGUUUAAAGCGGGGGAGUCGCAAGACCUCCGCCGCCUAAACGAAGGAGCCUGCGGCAGAUUAGGUUAGUUGGUGAGGUAAUGGCUCACCAAGCCUGCGAUCUGUAGCCGGCCUGAGAGGGCGGGUCGGCCACACUGACACUGACAUACGGUCGA